rnacentral:rRNA from 3 species
CCUGGCGGCACUAGCGCGGUGGUCCCACCUGACCCCAUGCCGAACUCAGAAGUGAAACGCCGUAGCGCCGAUGGUAGUGUGGGGUCUCCCCAUGCGAGAAUAGGGAACUGCCAGGC